AGCCUGAUGCAGCGACGCCGCGUGAGGGAUGACGGCCUUCGGGUUGUAAACCUCUUUCAGCAGGGAAGAAGCGCAAGUGACGGUACCUGCAGAAGAAGCGCCGGCUAACUACGUGCCAGCAGCCGCGGUAAUACGUAGGGCGCAAGCGUUGUCCGGAAUUAUUGGGCGUAAAGAGCUCGUAGGCGGUCUGUCGCGUCUGGUGUGAAAACUCGAGGCUCAACCUCGAGCUUGCAUCGGGUACGGGCAGACUAGAGUGCGGUAGGGGAGACUGGAAUUCCUGGUGUAGCGGUGGAAUGCGCAGAUAUCAGGAGGAACACCGAUGGCGAAGGCAGGUCUCUGGGCCGCAACUGACGCUGAGGAGCGAAAGCAUGGGGAGCGAACAGGAUUAGAUACCCUGGUAGUCCAUGCCGUAAACGUUGGGCACUAGGUGUGGGGCUCAUUCCACGAGUUCCGUGCCGCAGCAAACGCAUUAAGUGCCCCGCCUGGGGAGUACGGCCGCAAGGCUAAAACUCA
rnacentral:rRNA from 1 species